UACGUAGGGUGCAAGCGUUGUCCGGAAUUAUUGGGCGUAAAGAGCUCGUAGGCGGUUUGUCGCGUCUGCUGUGAAAACCCGAGGCUCAACCUCGGGCCUGCAGUGGGUACGGGCAGACUAGAGUGCGGUAGGGGAGUCUGGAAUUCCUGGUGUAGCGGUGAAAUGCGCAGAUAUCAGGAGGAACACCGGUGGCGAAGGCGGGACUCUGGGCCGAUACUGACGCUGAGGAGCGAAAGCGUGGGGAGCAAACAGG
rnacentral:rRNA from 1 species